UUGCUUUGGCAGCACAUAUACUAAAAUUGGAACCAUGCAGAGAAGAUUAGCUUGGCCCCUGUUCGAGGAAGACACACAAAUACGUGAAGCGUUCCAUGUUUUU
ensembl:snRNA U6 U6 spliceosomal RNA